UGGGUUCUAAGUAGUCAUGGGUCCUUGCC
rnacentral:piRNA from 1 species